rnacentral:rRNA from 1 species
GACGUAGGGCGCGAGCGUUGUCCGGAUUUAUUGGGCGUAAAGAGCUCGUAGGCGGCUUGUCGCGUCGGCUGUGAAAUCCCGUGGCUCAACUGUGGGCGGGCAGCUGAUACGGGCAGGCUGGAGUUCGGUAGGGGAGACUGGAAUUCCUGGUGUAGCGGUGAAAUGCGCAGAUAUCAGGAAGAACACCCGUGGCGAAGGCGGCUCUCUGGGACGUGACUGACGCUGAGACGCGAAAGCGUGGGGAGCGAACAGG